CGGACGGGUGAGUAAUGUCUGGGAAACUGCCUGAUGGAGGGGGGUAACUACUGGAAACGGUAGCUAAUACCGCAUAACGUCGCAGACCAAAGAGGGGGACCUUCGGGCCUCUUGCCAUCGGAUGUGCCCAGAUGGGAUUAGCUAGUAGGUGGGGUAACGGCUCACCUAGGCGACGAUCCCUAGCUGGUCUGAGAGGAUGACCAGCCACACUGGAACUGAGACACGGUCCAG
rnacentral:rRNA from 1 species